rnacentral:tRNA from 1 species
GGUAAUGUGGCUUAGUGGUAGAGUGCUUGCUGAGCAUGCAUGAAGCCCUGGGUUCAAUUCCUCAGUACCA